AGCAAUUUAAAAAGUUAGCUUAAAAAAUUGAAACAAUGCAGAGAAGAUUAAUGUGGCCCCUGACAAGGAUGACAUGGAAAUUGGUGAAGCAUUAAAAAAAAAGUUU
ensembl:snRNA U6 U6 spliceosomal RNA